UACGAAGGUGGCAAGCGUUGUUCGGAUUUACUGGGCGUACAGGGAGCGUAGGCGGUGGAUAAGCCCUCCGUGAAAUCUCCAGGCUUAACCUGGAAAGUGCAGAGGGGACUGUUCAGCUAGAGGAUGGGAGAGGAGCGCGGAAUUCCCGGUGUAGCGGUGAAAUGCGUAGAGAUCGGGAGGAGGCCGGUGCGAAGGCGGCAUCCUGGACCAACACUGACGCUGAGGAGCGAAAGCCAGGGGAGCAAACGGG
rnacentral:rRNA from 1 species